rnacentral:lncRNA from 1 species
UGCAGUUCAGGAAACCAGGCUGAAGAACGUGAAGUAUAUCGCCCAAAGUCAGACACGAAGGAACAACUGCUUUGGAGCUAGCACAUUCCUGAGCUGGAAUUGCACCACUGGUCAAUGGGACUGCAGAAUCCAAACUGCUUUCUACCGGAACAACUCCUUCCCUGCAGGAAGCAGGGUGCUCAUGGCUGAACCAUGGUCUGAGAAGGUUGAUGAAGUCACUGACUCAGCCCCAGCAAGGAAGUUGUCCUUCGACUUCUGACCUCUGGCCAUGUUUGAAAACCAACUCAAAUCGUCUUUCUUUUUCAGGGGAUGGAAUUGGCAAAAGAAUAUCGUGGGUCUACAUGAGCAUGGAGCUGAUAGAAGAAACUGUCAAAUACAAUCUAAAAGAACACAGUCCUUGUAAUGUAGGGGUGUGCAGAGACAGAACACAUCUUGAACUAAAACACUAA